rnacentral:rRNA from 1 species
CAGUAGCCGCGGUAAUACGGAGGGGGCUAGCGUUAUUCGGAAUUACUGGGCGUAAAGCGCACGUAGGCGGCUUGGUAAGUUAGAGGUGAAAGCCCAGGGCUCAACCCUGGAAUUGCUUUUAAGACUGUCGAGCUAGAAUCCAGAAGAGGGUAGUGGAAUUCCGAGUGUAGAGGUGAAAUUCGUAGAUAUUCGGAAGAACACCAGUGGCGAAGGCGACUACCUGGUCUGGCAUUGACGCUCAUGUGCGAAAGCGUGGGGAGCAAACAGGAUUAGAUACCCGGGUAGUCCCUGUCUCUUAUAC